CAUGCUCAACUGGCUCUGAUACUAAUUGUUAGCAACCUGGUAUUGCUCCAAUACCAGCCAUGGACCGAUCUCUUAUGUGGAAACUUGGAUGUUAAUCUAGCAAAUUGAAGAAGAGACAAAGAGAAGCAUGGUUGCUGAAAAAUCUGCAGGCGUGCAGAUUUCUGUGCGACAGCCUCUCCGAAACACCUCCUUCUUCUAAUCCUCCCAAGAUUAGAUCGGAAUGAAAAUAAAAUAAUAGAGGCA
rnacentral:lncRNA from 1 species